rnacentral:rRNA from 1 species
UGGGGGAUAUUGCACAAUGGGCGCAAGCCUGAUGCAGCGACGCCGCGUGGGGGAUGAAGGCCUUCGGGUUGUAAACUUCUUUUGCUCUGAACAAGGCAUGCCUGUGGGGUGUGUUGAGUGUAGGGGUUGAUUAGCGCCGGCUAACUACGUGCCAGCAGCCGCGGUAAUACGUAGGGCGCGAGCGUUGUCCGGAAUUAUUGGGCGUAAAGGGCUUGUAGGUGGCUGGUUGCGUCUGUCGUGAAAGCUCAUGGCUUAACUGUGGGUUUGCGGUGGGUACGGGCUGGCUUGAGUGCAGUAGGGGAGGCUGGAAUUCCUGGUGUAGCGGUGGAAUGCGCAGAUAUCAGGAGGAAUACCGGUGGCGAAGGCGGGUCUCUGGGCUGUUACUGACACUGAGGAGCGAAAGCAUGGGGAGCGAACAGG